rnacentral:rRNA from 1 species
CACGUAGGGUGCGAGCGUUGUCCGGAAUUAUUGGGCGUAAAGAGCUCGUAGGCGGCUUGUCGCGUCGACUGUGAAAACCCGUGGCUCAACCAUGUGGUCUGCAGUCGAUACGGGCAGGCUAGAAUUCGGUAGGGGAGACUGGAAUUCCUGGUGUAGCGGUGAAAUGCGUAGAUAUCAGGAGGAACACCGGUGGCGAAGGCGGCCCUCUGGACGGAUACUGACGCUGAGGCGCGAAAGCGUGGGAGAAUCGAAAUCAGGA